rnacentral:rRNA from 1 species
GAGCAUUAGUCUUUUGUGAUACAUUUUCAAUGAGUCAGGUUGUUUGGGAAUGCAGCCUAAAUUGGGAGGUAAAUCUCUCCUAAAGCUAAAUAUUUGCGAGAAACCGAUAGCGAACAAGUACCGUGAGGGAAAGAUGAAAAGAACUUUGAAAAGAGAGUUAAACAGUAUGUGAAAUUGUUAAAAGGGAACCGUUUGGAGCCAGUCUGGCUUUCCUAUAAUCAAUCUAGGCUUCGGCCUUGAUGCACUUGUAGGUUAUCGCCGGCCAACGACAAUUGGGAUCGCGAGGGAAAAAACCUUUGGAAAUGUAGCCAUUCUGCAAAGUUUGGUGUUAUAGUCCUUGGGAAAAUACCUUGUGCUCGAUUGAGGAUCGCAGUGAAUGCCUUUCGGGGCAGGAUGUGGUGAGGUAGGUUUGCUUGACCUAAGGUGACUUUCGGGUUGCUUUAGCGAUGGCUUACUCCUUGCUUCUAUCUUUAUUCGCU